rnacentral:misc_RNA from 1 species
GAUGAAGAACGCAGCGAAAUGCGAUAAGUAAUGUGAAUUGCAGAAUCCAGUGAAUCAUCGAAUCUUUGAACGCACAUUGCGCCCGCCAGCAUUCUGGCGGGCAUGCCUGUUCGAGCGUCAUUUCAACCCUCGACCUCCCCUUGGGGAGGUCGGCGUUGGGGACCGGCAGCACACCGCCGGCCCUGAAAUGGAGUGGCGGCCCGUCUGCGGCGACCUCUGCGUAGUAAUACAGCUCGCACCGGAACCCCGACGCGGCCACGCCGUAAAACACCCAACUUCUGAACGUUGACCUCGGAUCAGGUAGGACUACCCGCUGAACUUAAGCAUAUCAAUAAGCGGAGGA